CAGCAGCCGCGGGAACACAGAGGGUGCGAGCGUUAAUCGGAUUUACUGGGCGUAAAGCGUGCGUAGGCGGCUUCUUAAGUCGGAUGUGAAAUCCCUGAGCUUAACUUAGGAAUUGCAUUCGAUACUGGGAAGCUAGAGUAUGGGAGAGGAUGGUAGAAUUCCAGGUGUAGCGGUGAAAUGCGUAGAGAUCUGGAGGAAUACCGAUGGCGAAGGCAGCCAUCUGGCCUAAUACUGACGCUGAGGUACGAAAGCAUGGGGAGCAAACAGGAUUAGAUACCCCUGUAGUCCCUGUCUCUUAUAC
rnacentral:rRNA from 1 species